CAGUCGCCGCGGUAAUACAGAGGGUGCAAGCGUUAAUCGGAAUUACUGGGCGUAAAGCGCGCGUAGACGGUUACUCAAGUCAGAGGUGAAAGCCCGGGGCUCAACCCCGGAACUGCCUUUGAAACUAGGUGACUAGAAUCUUGGAGAGGUCAGUGGAAUUCCGAGUGUAGAGGUGAAAUUCGUAGAUAUUCGGAAGAACACCAGUGGCGAAGGCGACUGACUGGACAAGUAUUGACGCUGAGGUGCGAAAGCGUGGGGAGCAAACAGGAUUAGAUACCCCAGUAGUCCCUGUCUCUUAUAC
rnacentral:rRNA from 1 species